rnacentral:rRNA from 1 species
GAUCAUGGCUCAGGAUGAACGCUGGCGGCGUGCUUAACACAUGCAAGUCGAACGAACCUUCGGGUUAGUGGCGGACGGGUGAGUAACGCGUGGGAAUCUGCCCUCAGGAGGGGGAUAACGGCUGGAAACGGCCGCUAAUACCCCAUAUGCCGAGAGGUGAAAUGAAUUUCGCCUGAGGAUGAGCCCGCGUCUGAUUAGCUAGUUGGUGAGGUAAGAGCUCACCAAGGCAUCGAUCAGUAGCUGGUCUGAGAGGAUGAUCAGCCACACUGGGACUGAGACACGGCCCAGACUCCUACGGGAGGCAGCAGUGGGGAAUUUUCCGCAAUGGGCGAAAGCCUGACGGAGCAACGCCGCGUGAGGGAUGAAGGCCUCUGGGCUGUAAACCUCUUUUCUCAAGGAAGAAGAUCUGACGGUACUUGAGGAAUAAGCCACGGCUAAUUCCGUGCCAGCAGCCGCGGUAAUACGGGAGUGGCAAGCGUUAUCCGGAAUUAUUGGGCGUAAAGCGUCCGCAGGCGGCCCUUCAAGUCUGCUGUUAAAACGUGGAGCUUAACUCCAUCAUGGCAGUGGAAACUGUUGGGCUUGAGUGUGGUAGGGGCAGAGGGAAUUCCGGGUGUAGCGGUGAAAUGCGUAGAUAUCGGGAAGAACACCAGUGGCGAAGGCGCUCUGCUGGGCCAUAACUGACGCUCAUGGACGAAAGCCAGGGGAGCGAAAGGGAUUAGAUACCCCUGUAGUCCUGGCCGUAAACGAUGAACACUAGGUGUCGGGGGAAUCGACCCCCUCGGUGUCGUGCCAACGCGUUAAGUGUUCCGCCUGGGGAGUACGCACGCAAGUGUGAACUC